CUACACUGGCGGCACUUUGGUGCCCGCGCACGGUAUCGCACCGCGCGCAGUUAAACGGGAAGCAGGGAGCGAAGUCCGCCCGGACGAGCCAACCUGCGCUGUCCUCGCAACGGUACAACGACUGCAGUUCCUGCAAGCCGAUCCAUGCACACAUCGAGCCGGCUCUAUCGGCCGAUGCCGUGCGAAACGCCACUGCGCGCGAUGCGUGGGAAGGCGGGUCGGCCAGUCGUCAGCCCGGAUACCGGCCAGAGCCAGGAGGCAAGGU
rnacentral:ncRNA from 1 species